AUUUGUGGUAUAUAAUGUAGCCAUGAAUGCAUGACCACAUGACCCCACAAGAUGAACUCCAAUGGCUUCUAAAUAAGACAAUGGAUGAAAAGUUCACGAAUAUUGAGCUUUAUAUAUGAUUCGGGUUAAAUACAAUAAUUAUUAACCUAGCUUUAUAUAAAAUGUACAUACAUGUUCUAAUAAUUGUAUUUUGCUUCAUACAAUGCAUAUGUGUGUGAAAACAUUACAUUAUUCAGCUCACUCCCCUUUGGGGCUUUUCAGUCACCGCUUACAUCAAGUAUUAGGGUUACUUAUGUUAGUCUAGACUAUUUAUCUUUAUAACAAUGAGAAUAUGAUAUCACUUUUCUAACUGCAGUGUUUAUUCUAACCCACCCUGCCAUAUUUUGCCUUGUGGGAGGAAACCGGAGCAAAAUAUAAAAUUCAAUUACCUUGAAAACACAGGUCUAAAUUGCAAUCCCUAAAAUUUAGAAUUUUCUCUUAAAUCGCCUUAAAUCGCCUAAAAUCGCAUUAAAUCGCAGUGCUUGAAAGUCCCAGUUUUUCCUUAAAUCGCCUAAAAUCGCAUUAUAUCGCAGCGAUUUA